ACCGGGGUGGCUCAGUGGUUGAGCAUCUGACUUUCGCCCAGGUCAUGAGCCCAUGCUUUGUGGGUUCGAGCCCCACGUCAGGUU
rnacentral:tRNA from 1 species